AGUGAACGCUGGCGGCGUGCCUAACACAUGCAAGUCGAACGGAGACUUAAGAGCUUGCUCUUAAGUCUUAGUGGCGCACGGGUGAGUAACACGUAGCUAAUCUGCCCUAUGCUAAGGGACAACAGUUGGAAACGACUGCUAAUACCUUAUACUCCGCUAUCACCUAAGUGGUAUCGGGAAAGUUUUUCGGCAUAGGAUGAGGCUGCGGUCUAUCAGCUUGUUGGUGGGGUAAUGGCCUACCAAGGCUAUGACGGAUAGCUGGUCUGAGAGGAUGAUCAGCCACACUGGAACUGAGACACGGUCCAGACUCCUACGGGAGGCAGCAGUGGGGAAUUUUACACAAUGGGCGAAAGCCUGAUGUAGCAACGCCGCGUGGAGGAUGACGGAUUUAGGUCUGUAAACUCCUUUUAUAAGGGAAGAAAUUUGACGGUACCUUAUGAAUAAGCACCGGCUAACUCCGUG
rnacentral:rRNA from 1 species